CUUCUGCAGAAAAUCCAAUUACCUGACAGAGGAAAAGAGCUCCUUCUCUGGAAAUCCAUGAGGCUGGGUGCUCUUCACACUAACUGAUCCUGUUAGGGCCCAGCUGCUGGCUGCACCGGAAGUCAGCUUGGCACAGCAGAAGGAACAGAUUCACUUGGGACUGGAAUCUGGUUCUGCCACUUGCCGGCUCUGUGACUUUAGGCAAGCGACUUCACAUUCCUCAGCCAAUUUCAUCCGUGAAAAGAAAACCAGAAGAGCAAGAUGUUGGAGAAUUAAUAUCUGCUAGAGAAAUAUGCAUCUCAGCCUGGACUAAUUGGUGCCUGGAACAUGAUGGUAGGUCUCCUACUCACAAAUUGGAUGGUGAUGGAAAGGCCAUCCUGAUGAGCCUUCCAAAAGUUUUGUCAGAAGACAGAGUGAUGUUGGAUAACACUACUGAGCCACAACUUCCAUCCACGCAAGACUUAAUAUAUUUCCUGGGACAAAAGUACCUAGGAAACCAAAAGCCUUUCACCUUAUCCCUUGAAGCUAAUUUCCCUUUGGCUGACACUGUGCAGCAAAGUGUAUUAAUAUCCAUGAUGGGUGAUCAGCCUUCAAUAAAUAAUGCUGGUUGUUCUAAUGUACCUGGC
rnacentral:lncRNA from 10 species